rnacentral:lncRNA from 1 species
AUGAUAAAGGGUUAAUUUAUCCAGAAAGCAUAACAAUAAUAAACAUACAGGAGCUUAAAAAUAGAGCCCCAAAGUACAUAAAGGCAACUGGGUUCUUCAAGAGUACAGGAGAAGCAACUCUGUUCUAAAUAUUUGACCCCAUGACCCACUAUGGUGCUUAAUAAUCUACCACUAGGGAUUUACCUCUUUGGGUUAAAGUUUUACAUCCCUUAGAGUUCUUUGCUAAAGUAUAAAUAUGACCCUGAACACCACUGGCAUUAACCUUAGCUGAAAUUGCUUUAAGAGCCUUUGGAGCACUGAUCACUAGUGACAGAGACUGAAGGUUGAGUCAUUUACAGUGGAGGAUGCAGGUGUGGUCUGGAAUGGACCAUAGGAGGAGGGGAAUGAAUCCAAGACUGAGUGACACUAUUAACACUGAGGAAAGAGUACAGGGUGGGGAGGCGGGGGAGGAAGCUAGGAUGAAUGAAAAGACCCCAGGGAGACUGUGAGGGGAAAUAAGUGCUGGACAAGGAGCAAAGUGAAUAGGGUGUUGGUUUGGUGCUGGAGUUCGCAGUGGCCAUGCAGGGCAGAGGCAGCAGCAGACCCGGGAAAAGCACAGGGAGUCAGAAUAGGGAGCACACCUGGGAGCAGGGAUGGUGAUGACCACAGAGCAUCCCCAGGGAAAAACACUGGGAACGGGUCUAGGCAACGGGCUGAGGUCUGGAGAACCACAGCAGGGAGGCAGAGUGGUGGGAUGUAAGCCUACCUGGAAAACCAGGAAACUCGCAGGACAAAGACAGGCAGGGCCAAGAGGCAACACCAGGUUCAAGCUCAGAACAAAUGGGCCAGACAAGCAGGCAGGCGAACGAGGUGGCGUCUGUGAGGUGCCUAGUUACGGAAAACACUUACUGUUAGCUGGUGCUAAAUCUGAAGCCGGAUCGAGGAAGUGAUCCGGGCAGCAACUCAGUCUUGAUAACAACAGCAGCCCCUCCUUGUCAGCCACUCCUUGAGUGUUCAGAGCUCUUCACAUACACUGUCUCACAUGGUACCUAAAACUUCCCUGUGCGGUAGGCAUGGAAACCUCCCAUCCACAGACGGCUAGGAAACCUGGUUAAGUGACUCGCUCAGGGUCAGCCUAAGUUGGACAAUGAACGUGAGCCAUCUGAGCAGGCACAACCCAAAGCAUCAACAGCCUACCCCAUAUUUUACGGAUGCAAUGGGGGCCCAGGGAGGGAGUGGGCUUGCCCUGGUGCUCCGUGCUGGCUUUUGCUCCCCACCCACUGUGGGUGGGGAGGUGAGAGAAGUCUGCACAAGGCUGGCCCCUGCCUCUGGCCCAGGGGCUCUGAUCCUCUUGCAGGUCUGGGCUGGACCACAAGUAACACCCUGCAGGGCUCUGGCCGGUGCUCCCCCCCUACCUGGCUGGCUACGUGCGGAGUCCUGAAUGGUUUUCUUGGAGGGCUGUGUGGACAUUUUCUGGCCCCUCCCUCCCUGCACACCCCACCCACUUUCCUGCAGGGGGUCUGGGUCUAGCCCCAGCAGUAAUCGGCAGUCUCAUCAAAGCUCCCGCCCAGGGCAAGAGCGCCCUCACCAGCCCCCAACACAGCCAGCGAUGCUGGACCACUGCCAGGGGCUGGGACCACACACCAGCCCAGAUCAUCCUGGUGUCAGGCCUCCCUGCCAGCCUGCCAAUCUGCCCGGUUAAUCAUCAGGUACGACUUUCCAAGAGCUAUUUUGAGAAACAUGUAGAGAAUGGCUUUUACGCAGCUAUAUAUACCUCAUUGAUACCCUCGGACGUGGUCGCUCCGUGUAGCAGCACAUGGUUCUGCUCCCCCGGUUUUCUUUCCAUCUCUGCGUCAAAGUCAAGCAGUGAGCAAGCCCACUCCCUGACCCCAAGCAUACAGUUAUCACCCACAUCCCUUGGAGUCAGGGGUGUGAGUGAGCAGAGGGCAGGAAGGCUGUGGGUUUUGUAAAGCAUGGCUCCAGAGAACCCAAGGCGACCAUUACUGAAGGGGUGGAGGCCGUGGAGAGGGCAGGGCCCUGAAGCUUGGGAAGGAGCAGGACCCCGGGGCGGAGAGGGGGGAGCAAGAUGCAGGUGCCCUGGUCUGCUUCUCUCAACACCCACGGGCAUCUCAAGGUCCACGAAGCACGUGCCAAAGGCAUCCCACUGACAUCCAGAGAACAGGCUCCAAGGCCAAGCCAACCACCCUGGCCUUGCCCAGUGCUGCGUCUUUGGCCUACAGGAAGCAGCAAGUCUGCCCUGCACGGUUGCCAUGGCAACCCCGGGAGCCCAAGGGCAGUGGGGGAGAAGGGUGAUGGAGAAGGCACGCAGUGGCUUUUCUGGAAAAGCCCAUCUGUUUCUCUCCCCCAGGAAACCAAGCUGGUGGGUGGUGGUAGGGGGGCUGGGUGUGGAAGGAACAGGCAUCUGGGUCUCCCCAGAGGAGGGAGAGAAAGACUCUAAGAUGCUCCAAGGGCAGCUCUCCUGACAGGAUCUGCUUCUCUUCCUUUGGGUGGAAGGCAUGUCACUGACCAGGACAAAGGUCUGGGUGGGCCCCUCGGUGGGUGGGGGCGCCUGUGCAGGAGUCCGUGUGCAGGAGACAGGGGAGUCCUGUGGCCACAGGCCCGGGCAGGGGUCCCAGGAGGCCGGUAUCAGCCGCAGCAGGCUUUCUUCUUGGUGAGGCGGUCAACCUGAACGGUUUCCUCCCUCACUGUGUCUUCUUGCUCCU